AAUAGAUACCCAGGUAGUCCUAGCCGUAAACGAUGACCACUAGGCGUGGGAGGUAUCGACCCCUUCCGUGCCGCAGCAUACGCAUUAAGUGGUCCGCCUGGGGAGUACGGUCGCAAGAUUAAAACUCAAAGGAAUUGACGGGGACCCGCACAAGCAGCGGAGCGUGUGGUUUAAUUCGAUGCAACGCGAAGAACCUUACCAGGACUUGACAUGCAACUGCACCACCCGUAAUGGGGUGUCCCUUCGGGGCGAUUGCACAGGUGCUGCAUGGCUGUCGUCAGCUCGUGUCGUGAGAUGUUGGGUUAAGUCCCGCAACGAGCGCAACCCUCGCCUUUAGUUGCCGCGCAAGCGGAUCUCUAGAGGGACUGCCGGUGUUAAACCGGAGGAAGGUGUGGAUGACGUCAAGUCAGCAUGCCCCCUUACGUUCUGGGCUACACACGUACUACAAUGCUACGGACGAGAGGGUUGGUCGAGCCGUGCGAGGCAAGCUAACUCCGUAACCGUGGCUCAGUUCAGAUGCNG
rnacentral:rRNA from 1 species